ACUUUCUGCUGUGACAGGGCAGCACUGAGUUGAAGGCAGAGUCCCACAGUUGCUGCAUUCUCCCUCCCCCAGGUGCACAGAUUCUCAGCACCACAGCGGCCGCUGCUGGGAGAUGGGAGAGGAAUGGCCUCGGUGUUUCAAGACUGUCUCUCCUACCCUCUUCAGUGCCUCUUUCAGUGUUAUGAAGUUAAACCCAGAUGAGAUCUCAAAAGGAAGGACACUUGAGCAAAGUUGCACAGUUGAUCCUUGACUCAUGGUACAAGACUCUUUCCACUACUCUGAGAGCCCUGAGUCCUGAGAAGAAGAUGGAAGGAAGAACUGCUAGUGUGCCUGAGACUUACAUUGUGAAGAUACUUUUUUAAAACUUGAGAGCUAAAAGAAUAUCAGCAGAGGAACAGCCCUGGUGUUCCAGCAGGAGCAAAGACAAAAAAGAAAAAAACUGGCAGUAGCCCUGAGACAACCACUUCUGGUGGCUGCCACUCACCUGGGGAUGUGGAGGUCUGGAGCUCUACGAGAUUCAUCACCCAUGUCCUGGGCCUGAGGAGAGGGGACCAGUGAGC
rnacentral:lncRNA from 10 species